rnacentral:rRNA from 1 species
GAUGUACGCUGGCGGCGUGCUUAACACAUGCAAGUCGAACGGUGAAGCAGGAGCUUGCUCUUGUGGAUCAGUGGCGAACGGGUGAGUAACACGUGAGCAACCUGCCCCUGACUCUGGGAUAAGCGCUGGAAACGGCGUCUAAUACUGGAUAUGUGAUGUGACCGCCUGGUCUGCAUCUGGAAAGAAUUUCGGUUGGGGAUGGGGUCGCGGCCUAUCAGCUUGUUGGUGCGGUAAUGGCUCACCAAGGCGUCGACGGGUAGCCGGCCUGAGAGGGUGACCGGCCACCCUGGGACUGAGACACGGCCCAGACUCCUACGGGAGGCAGCAGUGGGGAAUAUUGCACAAUGGGCGGAAGCCUGAUGCAGCAACGCCGCGUGAGGGAUGACGGCCUUCGGGUUGUAAACCUCUUUUAGCAGGGAAGAAGCGAAAGUGACGGUACCUGCAGAAAAAGCACCGGCUAACUACGUGCCAGCCGCCGCAGUAA